rfam:Triticum aestivum genome assembly, contig: Triticum_aestivum_CS42_TGACv1_scaffold_526481_6DL
AAUAUACUCCAUCCGUCCAGAAAUACUUAUCAGAUAAAUGGAUGUAUCUAAACGCAUUUUAGUGCUAGAUGUAUCAAUUUUUAUUCAUUUCUUCGACAAGUAUUUCCGGACGGAGGGAGUAUAAA